ensembl:lncRNA
GUGUCAAUCGAGGUUGAGUUUAGUGAGGGUUGAAAGUUUUCGAUCUAGAUUGCAGAUCACUAUUGUCACUUUAUACAAACUGAAAGUAUGCGUUGUUGCGUGUUUGUUUUUGUGGGCAUUUGACUGAACAGCCCAGACAAAUAUUGCUACCAACAUGGCACUUCGAAACAGACCACCGCAGUGAGUAAAAGUUAUUUUCCUUUAUUACAUUUUGACGUUUUUGGGCUGUCUCCUCAGACACAAGCCAUCAGUAUCCCUGCUCUUUGCACCUUGACAUGCAUGUCACCGCUGUUUGUUAACCUAGCUUUGCUGAUUUGUAUCUUGUGAUGUGUGUUUUUCUUAACAGGUGUUAGAUGACUGACAAGAUCUAUGGGGGGGCCCCCUUUGGGCCCCCCCAUACCAACUUAGUCUUCAAAGGAAUCUAGUGCCAUGGGUCUCCAGUGUCUUCAAAACAUCCUCGGAAUACAUGUGGGGACUUGACUGGUGAGUCUACUGGAUUAAUCAGUAGCGGUACUUUGCCCAACAGAUUUGAUGGCAUGACUACAGGUUGGUGGUUCAACACUGAUGUCUCUCUAGGCUUGAGGGAGAGCUCACAAGUCAAUUACACGAAUGUCCUGGAGCAAUUGGGAAUACACUUUUAUUUAGUCUACCUGACCAGGGACAUCUUUGAACUAUAGGUCACCUAACCCAAACUUUUCACUCUUGAAAAUAUCAACAUUUCAGGUAUUCUGUUUGGAUAAUGUGCAAAACUUGGAUAAUGUGGCUUCACUAAUAAAAAAAAUUAACGAAUGUAUUUUCCUUAAUGUGGUUAAACUAUUUAAAGAUUUGUAUGCAAAAUAUUUCUGCUCAAUUUGUGGUCAAUGAAACUCAAAUGUUUUAAUUUGAUAAAACACAACUAUGGGUUAAAGGUAUUUGCUUUGGGCAUCUUUUGAUAUUUUUAGAAUCUAGCUCCAUUGCCGUUAGAAAUGGUGUCUCACAGUACUGCAAAGUGCUUCCAAAAUGGGCAGAAAAGGAACUGCCAACUAAAUCUAUUUAACAUGGGUAGAAAGUUUCCAUGGAAGCUCUUGGCUGCUGGUUCCCAACACAGCUCUACUGUUAGCCUGUGACCUUGUGUUUAACUUUUUUGGACUUUUGGUGACUUUCACAAGAGAAAUGAACUGGUUAAUACAAUAAACAAGACAUUUGAAACUUCAGCUACAUUUUUAUCUAUUUGUACUGCCUUUGAUUUCAACCCGUGACAUGUUUGUCAGGUGAUAACUAUGUACCUGUGACCGCAUAUCAUGGUACCAUUUUUUAACUGUUUGUGGAUAUUGCAUUAAAUCCAUAUGCUUGAAACUUUUCAAUAAUGCAUAUCAACGAAACAAUGGAAUGAAAUAAAUAGUUCAAGCAAUUUGUG